ACACCAUCCUCUGAUUCUAGGGAAAUCAUGGACAAGAUGCUCGUUUAACAUCCGACGGGUCUGCAAGCUUGGCGUCGGUGUAUGAAGCUAUUGACGCAAUAACUACAGAGGCCAGAGAGGGUAUUAAAGCUUCCGAACUUGAAGCAGCAAUGGACGACAUUAGAAACAAGGCGAAUGAAUACUUGAAUGGAAAAAGUGCCAAA
rnacentral:sRNA from 1 species